GUAGGUAUUUUUCGAGUUAAGCCCUUCGAGUUAAGCCCUUUUCGAGUUAAGCCCCUGCCACGCCCUUUUUCGCCGGGGGCUUAACUCGAAGUCAUUUAACGACUUAAGCAUUCGAGUUAAGCCCCGACGUUUGGUGGAUGUAAACAAGUGACGCGUGUAUACUCUCAAAAAUAUUGGCAAAUAUAUGUAAGGAGAGAGAAUGUAAAAUUUCAGCAAUUUUAAGAAAUAUAUUUUGCUUAGAUCUCUGUUGCUUUGCCUACAGUUUUAUACAGACAAUGACAUCGUGAAACGAGAGAGCUCAAUAAGGAUUUGUAAACAACAGCUCAUUCAGGGCGGCAAUUACGGCU